rnacentral:rRNA from 1 species
AUUGAACGCCGGCGGCAUGCCUUACACAUGCAAGUCGAACGGCAGCACGGGGCAACCUGGUGGCGAGCGGCGAACGGGUGAGUAAUGCAUCGGAACGUACCUUUCAGUGGGGGAUAACGUAGCGAAAGUUACGCUAAUACCGCAUAUUCUGUGAGCAGGAAAGCAGGGGAUCGCAAGACCUUGCGCUGAUUGAGCGGCCGAUGUCAGAUUAGCUAGUUGGUGAGGUAAAGGCUCACCAAGGCGACGAUCUGUAGCGGGUCUGAGAGGAUGAUCGGCCACACGGGAACUGAGACACGGUCCAGACUCCUACGGAAGGCAGCAGUGGGGAAUUUUGGAAAAUGGGGGCAACCCUGAUCCAGCAAUGCCGCGUGCAGGAAGAAGGCCUUCGGGUUGUAAACUGCUUUUGUACGGAACGAAAAGGCUCUGGUUAAUACCCGGAGUUAAUGACGGUACCGUAAGAAUAAGCACCGGCUAACUACGUGCCAGCCGCCGCCGUAACAC